rnacentral:lncRNA from 1 species
CAAAGAGGUGCUAACUAGACAAAAACCAAGCGUCCACCUCAGAACACAGGAUCAAGCUUGCAACCAUGAAUAUGAAAGACUAUAUGUUUAAGAUGGUGGGAGCAGAAAAACAGGAGCCUGGGGAAUUGACAACAUCAUGAAUAUGCUGCACCAUUCUGGACCACUGCAGUCAGAUAACUCCUUAUAUGAGAAAAAUGGGUAACCUACUGGAUUAAGCACCUAUAGGUCGUGUUCUCUGUUGAAUGUAACCAAAAACAAACCUAAUUAAUUCAAAACUCUGUAGAAUUACA